UCCUACGGGAGGCAGCAGUGAGGAAUAUUGGUCAAUGGGCGGGAGCCUGAACCAGCCAAGUAGCGUGCAGGAUGACGGCCCUACGGGUUGUAAACUGCUUUUAUGCGGGGAUAAAGUGACGUACGCGUACGUUUUUGCAGGUACCGCAUGAAUAAGGACCGGCUAAUUCCGUGCCAGCAGCCGCGGUAAUACGGAAGGUCCGGGCGUUAUCCGGAUUUAUUGGGUUUAAAGGGAGCGCAGGCCGGCGCUUAAGCGUGACGUGAAAUGUAGAUGCUCAACAUCUGAACUGCGUCGCGAACUGGGUGCCUUGAGUGAGUCCGAUGUGUGCGGAAUUCGUGGCGUAGCGGUGAAAUGCUUAGAUAUCACGAAGAACCCCGAUUGCGAAGGCAGCACACAAGGCCUUUACUGACGCUAAUGCUCGAAGGUGCGGGUAUCGAACAGGAUUAGAUACCCUGGUAGUCC
rnacentral:rRNA from 1 species